UGAGUAACCUGCCCUUGACUUUGGGAUAACUUCAGGAAACUGGGGCUAAUACCGGAUAGGAGCUCCUGCUGCAUGGUGGGGGUUGGAAAGUUUCGGCGGUUGGGGAUGGACUCGCGGCUUAUCAGCUUGUUGGUGGGGUAGUGGCUUACCAAGGCUUUGACGGGUAGCCGGCCUGAGAGGGUGACCGGCCACAUUGGGACUGAGAUACGGCCCAG
rnacentral:rRNA from 1 species